GAUGAACGCUGGCGGCGUGCCUAAUACAUGCAAGUCGAGCGAACAGAUGAGGAGCUUGCUCCUCUGACGUUAGCGGCGGACGGGUGAGUAACACGUGGAUAACCUACCUAUAAGACUGGGAUAACUUCGGGAAACCGGAGCUAAUACCGGAUAACAUAUUGAACCGCAUGGUUCAAUAGUGAAAGACGGUAUUGCUGUCACAUAUAGUUGGAUCCGCGCGGCUUUACCUAUUUGGUAAGGUAACGGCUUACCAAGGGAACGUACCGUAGCCGACCUGAAAGGGUGAUCGGCCACACUGGAACUGAGCCACGGUCCAGACUCCUACGGGAGCCAGCGGUGGGGAAUCUUCCGCAAUGGGGCAAAGCCUGCCGGGGCAACGCCGCGUGGGUGAUGAGGGUCUUCGGAUCUUAAACCUCUGUUAUUAUGAAAGAACAAAUGUGUAAGUAACUAUGCACGUCUUGACGGUACCUAAUCAGAAAGCCACGGCUAACUACGUG
rnacentral:rRNA from 1 species